rnacentral:rRNA from 1 species
GUAAACGAUGCUCACUAGCUGUUUGCGAUAUGAUAGCAAGCGGCCCAGCGAAAGCGAUAAGUGAGCCACCUGGGGAGUACGCCGGCAACGGUGAAACUCAAAGGAAUUGACGGGGGCCCGCACAAGCGGAGGAACAUGUGGUUUAAUUCGAUGAUACGCGAGGAACCUUACCUGGGCUUGAAUGGGGAACGACAGGGGUGGAAACACUUCGUUCUUCGGACGUUUUCCAAGGUGCUGCAUGGUUGUCGUCAGCUCGUGCCGUGAGGUGUCGGGUUAAGUCCCAUAACGAGCGCAACCCUUACCGGUAGUUACCAGCAUGUAAUGAUGGGGACUCUACCGGGACUGCCACCGUAAGGUGUGAGGAAGGGGGGGAUGACGUCAAAUCAGUACGGCCCUUAUGUCCAGGGCUACACACGUGUUACAAUGGCCGGUACAGCGGGAGGCUACUGAGUGAUCAGAUGCGGAUCCCGAAAGCCGGUCCCAGUUCGGAU